GAAGAACGACCGUUGGUGAUUUUUUUUUUUUUUUUUUUUAAAUGCAUUUGAAGUGUAAUGACAGGUGCUGACCAGGAGGUGUCAGCAGAGACCACAGAUCUCAAGGGUGGGUCAGGUUGGAAAAAGAAAGAGGGAAAAACAACAAGUGUGCCAAAAACUCUACGCCUUCCUCACCAGUCGAGAUGAGCCCACUUGGACUGAGUUCUGCUGCAUGGACCAGCUGGCCGCGUCGAACACCACCACCUUCCCGUCGCUCAGCGCACACCACAGCUUGGGGUUGCCACCGCCGUCCGUGCCCGACACACCCAGCUGCCCUGAAACCAGAGGAGUUGCAGUGGCCUGAAGCACAGGAAAGGCAGAUGGAGGUCCAGGUCAACGGCCGGUCGCUCCUCAUCCUCGCGAGAAGGGAGGAAGAUCUGGAGCGG